ACUCCUUUCUGGAACUGGCAAGUUAUCCAAAUAACCAAACAAACGCUCAACAUCCGAGCAGAUGUGUAUCCCGCUCCAGAUUCGAUGAGGCCCCAUCCACUAGGCCAAACGACCCAACUCCUCCGCCCCCGGCAAGGAGCGGUCGAGGCCGAUCCUGGAUCUGCCCCAGCCUCCCCAGAGGCAGAGGAAACAAGCCUGGGUUACCAUCUCCCCGAGAGGAGUACUCGGACUAACAGCCGUUUACGGAGGCCUCUGAGAGCCGCGGGAGCGCCAAGAUGGAUUAUUAUUAUAGCCCGUCUGCGAAAUGUCCGGGGUUUGCCAGAGUCGAUUGGAUUCCGUUCUAGAGGGAGAUCGAUGUGAUCGCUCUGACGUUCGUCUUCCCUGGUGGCUUCUGCGGGAUGGGAUUUUCCUCCAGGAGGUACUUCUUGGGGUAUUUGUUAAAUACCAGAUUUAACAGUCGUAAUAAAAUA